rnacentral:rRNA from 1 species
AAACUUACCAGGUCAAGACAUGGGCGUGAUUGACAGGCUAAUGACUUUUCUCGAUUCCAUGGAUGGUGGUGCAUGGUCGCACUUAGUUGGUGCAGUGAUUUGUCAGGUUUAUUCCGGUAACGAACGAGACCUCGGCCUUGUAAAUAGCUAUGCUGCUUACAGGGACAUUGGCGGCUACGCCAAGGAAGCUCGAGGCAAUUGCAGAUCUGGAAUGCCCUUAGAUGUCCUGGGUCGCACGCGUGCUACAAUGACGCCACGAACGAGCUUGCGUGAUGAAAGUUACGCAUAAUCAGCAGUCGGCGUCUUAAGGGAUAGUCUCUUGUAACUGUGGGACUCCAACUAGGAAUGUCUCGUAAGCACAAGUCAACAUCUUGUGUUGAUUACGUCCCUGCUCUUUGUACACACCGCCCGUCGCUCCUACCGAUCGAGUGUUUAGGUGAAUUUGAUGGACGUAAGGAAGUCAAAUAAACCUGAGCACUAGAGAAGAGAAGUCGAGAUGC